UACGUAGGGUGCGAGCGUUGUUCGGAAUUAUUGGGCGUAAAGGGCGCGUAGGCGGUGCCACAAGUCACUUGUGAAAUCCCCGGGCUUAACUCGGGGCCUGCAGGCGAAACUGUGGUGCUGGAGUAUGGGAGAGGUGCGUGGAAUUCCGGGUGUAGCGGUGGAAUGCGUAGAGAUCCGGAAGAACACCGGUGGCGAAGGCGGCUCGCUGGGCAGUGGCUGACGCUGAGGCGCGACAGCGUGGGGAGCAAACAGG
rnacentral:rRNA from 1 species